rnacentral:rRNA from 1 species
UCGAGGAUCUUUCGCAAUGGGCGCAAGCCUGACGAAGCGACGCUGCGUGAGCGAUGAAGGCCUUCGGGUCGUAAAGCUCUUUCGCGCAAGAACAAGGAAAUGGUGUGAAUAACAUCGUAACUUGAGGGUACUGCGUAAAGAAGCACCGGCUAACUCCGUGCCAGCAGCUGCGGUAAUACGGAGAGUGCAAGCAUUAAUCGGAAUUAUUGGGCGUAAAGGGCGCGUAGGCGGGAUGAUAAGUCAGAUGUGAAAUUCUGAAGCUCAACUUCAGAGCUGCAUUUGAAACUAUAAUUCUCGAGGAUUGACGGAGAAAACGGAAUUCCACGUGUAGCGGUGAAAUGCGUAGAUAUGUGGAAGAACACCUGUGGCGAAAGCGGUUUUCUAGUUUAUACCUGACGCUGAGGCGCGAGAGCAAGGGGAGCAAACAGGAUUAGAUACCCGCGUAGUCC